rnacentral:lncRNA from 1 species
ACUUUAGAGGUUUCAUUUUUAGUUCAAAGCUGAUUCAUUAUUUCAACUGGCAUAACAUUUCAAUACUACUAGGACUUGAUAUAUUGGAAUUAAGAUUAAAAAUCAGGAAUGUCUGUUUUAAGUUCAAGGUGCCAAAAUUUUUAACAGUGGUUAAAUGACUUAAUCCAUGAAAUAGUAAGGAAUUAUUACCGCUUGUGUUUUACUUUAAAAUUUACCUAUGAGCUCAAAGCAAGACUGUUAUUUUACAGGGCUCAGGAUUCUUCCAGGAGGAAAAGAUUAUGAUCCCUGUGUAUCGUACUGUGGUCUGAACGGUCUGUCUUGUGCACCACCUGUUGCCACUCGACUUCUUGAAUAGUUAUCAUGAGAAUCAUAAUCAGCAGCUUGUCGUUGGCGAAUAUGAGCUGCCAUGUCUUCCUGCCCUCCAGCUGGUCCAUUACUUACUGAGUCCUGGUAGUACUGGUAUGAUUGUGGUGCUGCUGCCGAAGCUAUAUAAGAGAUCAGACAUUUUCUGUUUAGUAUUAGAACAAUUUUGUGCUCCUGUGACCUAGAUACCCACAACUGGGGUCCCAAUACAUUUAAUCCAAUUUGUCCAGAUACCAUGCUGUUGCCUUCAAACUAUAGUUUCAUUUGGGUCAGUGUGUAUACAUUUAUUGUAUUGACAAAAAAAAGGCUUGACUUGAAACAACUGUUUGAAUACAAUAGAGCGUACGGGUAACUCCGAUAUCUGCUGUUUUUGUUAAUCAAAUUUAUAUCAGGGCUAAAAACAAGAGCUGGUGAGUCCACUAGCUUUAACUUGGUUAUACUUUAUUUCUGGCUCAAAGAUAUUGCUCAAAAUGACCAGCAUGGCAAAGAUUUGAUUAACCAAGUUCCAAUUUGUAGACGGCUAUUGUCCAAUAACCGGCCAUUAUUUUUAGCCCUUCAAAAUAUCCGUUCGAGGUAUUGAUACUCCAGUUUGGAGAUCUCUGUUGCUCAGAAUUAGCCUCAAUUUUGUGGAGAAAAUUCAUGCGUUCCAGUGAAGGUCCGUGGAAUUUUAAAGCAUUAGUAUAUUGAAGUUGUGCAUUGUUGUGCAUUCUUUACUUUGACAAUGGUAUUUGUGAAUGCUUGGGUGCUGAUUUGAGGCUAACCCUGAGUAAAUGAGUCAAUCAAGGAGCUUAGUGGUAAUUUGGAACUCAAAACUGGUCAAUACGUAAACAGUGGAGUAACUAGGGGUCUUGCAGGGGAGGUGCACAGGCAUGAUUUGCAGAACCGGGAAAAAAAAACAAAAAAAAAACAGAACAAAAUAAAAAACAAGGGAAUAAUGGAUGAGUGAUUCUUAAAAAUGCUACAAUAUGCAGAUGGAAAGUGGUCUUCAUUUAAUCAAAAAACAUUUACAUGCAAUUUUAAAGUAAAAGGAGAUAGAUGAGCAGACCUUAAGCUCUUAUGGGGGGAUUGUACGUGCUCCCUGUGCUCCCCCCUGGUUACGGCCCUGAUAAAGUUUUAUGAAAUUCAUAUUUUGUUUUGGGUUUGUUUCAGCAGUGUUGUCCAUCGCAUAGCUUUGGAAAACCAAAGCAAUUAUUAUUAUUGCAGAUACAGGGUGAGGUUGUAGGGUGCCUGUGCAUCCCCCUUUCUAGCUUAGGCUCGCUAAAAUGGUGCAUAGAUCUUCAUAAUUUUGUGAAUCCCAGAUAUGCCCAUGCAAUGCAUUUCAUCAUAGAUGAACUAUUCGUGUUUAAAAAGACCGGUAACGUCACUAGAAUUGUCAAAAGUUCUAACCUGCACUGGUUGCUUCUUUAAGUGAUACUAGAGCUUCUCGUACAGCUUGUCCAAACAUCUCGGCAUCAUCUCGGCUUUGGAAAUUUAACCCAUAAACUUGCCGUUGAUCACGCCAUUGGUGGAAGGUUGGAGUAGCUUCAUUGUACUUUAGACCACGAGCCAAAGCACAGUUUAUGACCACCUUUGCAAAAGAAGAACUCCCAAAAUUAAUGCUUCAAUUUAAAAGAAGUUGUUAGAAGUAAGAAUAGCUUCCUUCCACAUUUUCAUUCCCACUCUUUUUCAAUGUUUUCUUCAUUCAUUCUUUUGAUUCACGCACAACAAUAAUUCCACUCAUUCAUUCAUUCAUCAAUUCAUUCCCUUUGUCAGUCUACUCAUUUCAUUACCUCUUCCAAUCUUAAUUUAAUCAAUACUUUUCUAAUGUGUGCCAUUAUUUCCUUUAUCCAUUGUUUAUCAUUCUUUAUCAUUUAAUUCUGCAAAGAACAUGCGUGAUACGGAAAAAGACCAUGCCUUAUAUGAGGCCGUAUCAGCACUUCUCAUCUGCUCGCGCUGGUUACGAUAGGGUUUAGACAGAGUUUGAGCACUUCUUUGCAGAAUAAAUGAUAAACAACUUAUCAGUCGGCUAAGCGUCUGACAAAGCUUUGCAUUUUUAUUACUCUUGUAUACACUUGUAUGCUCCAUGACUCGUAAAAAUACACAGCCGUAUCAGAUGCUUAGCCGACUGAUAACCUCUAUUAAUUUUUUUAAUGUUCACAUGUUCAUAUUUUAUUUUCAACUAUCCAUUUAUCCAUUCAAUAUUACACAUAAUUUCACUUAUUCAACAGCAUACAACACACCAUUAGCAUAAUAUUUUCCCAUUUCAGACCACAUGUCAUUCUCUUAAGAAAAAGAUGGUUUGUUUGAGUUGUAUCCAUAUUCAUGUGUCUUCUUAUGUGCAACCGUUUAAACAAAGAAAUAAUACUCUAGAAAUGACAGUGGUCUGAAAUGGAAAUACAGUACAUUACACUAGAAAUCUAUUAACAAGACAGUGUUAGUCAAAUCCAACUAGUAGUCUAUCAUCAAUGCUGCGUUCUGAUUGGAUGAGCGACUACUUCUGAUUGGAUGAGCUACUACUAUACUAGCCAAGAACUUAUAUGUAUAUACUAAGCAAGAAGUACCAGCUUUGAAAACCAAAACAUUAAAUAAUUUAACUUUAAUUCAAAA